GACGAAGGAUGCAAGCGUUAUCCGGAUUCAUUGGGUUUAAAGGGAGCGUAGGCGGACUUGUAAGUCAGUGGUGAAAUCUGUGGGCUUAACCCACAAACUGCCAUUGAUACUGCAGGUCUAGAGUACGGUUGCCGUUGGCGGAAUAUGACAUGUAGUGGUGAAAAUACUUAGAUAUGUCAUAGAACACCGAUUGCGAAGGCAGCUAACGAAGCUGUAACUGACGUGAGGCUCGAAAAGUGCGGGGGAUCAAACAGG
rnacentral:rRNA from 1 species